rnacentral:rRNA from 1 species
GACGAACGCUGGCGGCGUGCUUAACACAUGCAAGUCGAACGAUGAAGCCGGAGCUUGCUCCGGUGGAUUAGUGGCGAACGGGUGAGUAACACGUGAGUAACCUGCCCUUGACUCUGGGAUAACUCCGAGAAAUCGGUGCUAAUACCGGAUAUGACCCUGGAAGGCAUCUUCUGGGGUGGAAAGUUUUUCGGUCAAGGAUGGACUCGCGGCCUAUCAGCUUGUUGGUGAGGUAGCGGCUCACGAAGGCAACGACGGGUAGCCGGCCUGAGAGGGUGACCGGCCACACUGGGACUGAGACACGGCCCAGACUCCUACGGGAGGCAGCAGUGGGGAAUAUUGCACAAUGGGCGAAAGCCUGAUGCAGCAACGCCGCGUGAGGGACGACGGCCUUCGGGUUGUAAACCUCUUUUAGUAGGGAAGAAGCGAAAGUGACGGUACCUACAGAAAAAGCACCGGCUAACUACGUGCCAGCCGCCGCUGUAA